rnacentral:rRNA from 1 species
AGUGAACGCUGGCGGCGUGCUUAACACAUGCAAGUCGAACGAGAACGGAUUAUAGCUUGCUAUAAUUGUCAGCUAAGUGGCGCACGGGUGAGUAAUGUAUAGGUAAUAUGCCUCUUACUAAGGGAUAACAAAUGGAAACGUUUGCUAAUACCUUAUACUCCUUAUUAACAUAAGUUAAUAAGGGAAAGAUUUAUUGGUAAGAGAUUAGCCUGUAUUGUAUCAGUUAGUUGGUGGGGUAAUGGCUUACCAAGACUAUGACACAUAACUGGUUUGGGAGGAAGAUCAGUCAACGGGGAACGGAGAAACGGCCAAGAAUCCGACGGGGGGCAGGAGGGGGGAAUAUUGCACAAUGGACAAAAGUUUGAUGCAGCAACGCCGCGGGGAGGAUUUCAAAUUUCGGGGGGUAAACUCCUUUUAUAUGAGAAGAUAAUGACGUUAUUAUAUGAAUAAGCACCGGCUAACUCCGUGCCAGCCGCCGCGGUAA